AUACAAAAUAUAAAAAAACAACUUAGUGUUUUUUCUCUGGGUAAGUCGCACACAAACAUUGGUCUGGGCGUGGGCGACUUCUUUUUUUAUUUUGUU
rnacentral:antisense_RNA from 1 species